UCCUGACUCUUGUUCUUGUUGCCGUAUAGUCCUGCAACAUCGACGAGGAAGCUGUUGAAGCUGCAAUUUCAGGAUGUACUAUGCUUGAGACGCUGGACGUACGCUUUUGUCCCAAGAUUUGUCCACCGAGCAUGGGGAGGUUACGUGCUGCAUGUCCCAGCUUAAAACGCAUAUUUAGCAGCCUAGUCCCAUCGUGAGGCAAUGAAAUAUUGGAUAUGUUUGUGUUGACGGGUAAUUCAGCAACAUGUAUAACUACAGAGGUUUAUAUUUUAUGUAUAGUUAACUAUUUAUAUUAUUGUGGUUACUGAAUGCACAACGAGCUGUAAACAUAAGAAUGUCGUAGUAUUUUUGGCAUUGGCUUUCGCAUUGUAUGUUUUGGUUAACGCAAUAGAUGCAACUUCGAUGUCAGCACAAGGAAAGAGAAAAGGGUUAUAAAUACAAGUAAAGCUUGUUAUGAUGGUA